rnacentral:rRNA from 1 species
GUGAACGCUGGCGGCGUGCCUAACACAUGCAAGUCGAACGAUGAUAGGAAGCUUGCUUCCUUGAUUAGUGGCGCACGGGUGAGUAUACCAUAGAUAAUGUACCUCUUAGUUCGGGAUAGCCACUGGAAACGGUGAUUAAUACCGGAUACUCCUUCUCAUUAUAAGAUGAGUCGGGAAAGUUUUUUCGCUAAGAGAUCAGUCUAUGUCCUAUCAGCUAGUUGGUGAGGUAAUGGCUCACCAAGGCUAUGGCGGGUAUCUGGUUUGAGAGGAUGAUCAGACACACUGGAACUGAGACACGGUCCAGACUCCUACGGGAGGCAGCAGUGAGGAAUAUUGCACAAUGGAGGAAACUCUGAUGCAGCAACGCCGCGUGGAGGAUGACGCAUUUCGGUGUGUAAAACUCUGUCCAGGGGGAAGAAACAAAUGACGGUACCCCUGGAGGAAGCCCCGGCUAACUACGU